rnacentral:rRNA from 1 species
AACGAACGCUGGCGGCAGGCCUAACACAUGCAAGUCGAGCGCGUAGCAAUACGAGCGGCGCACGGGAUAGUAACGCGUGGGAACCUACCCUUCGGUUCGGAAUAACAUCGGGAAACUGGUGCUAAUACCGGAUACGCCCUUCGGGGGAAAGAUUUAUUGCCGAUAGAUGGGCCCGCGUUGGAUUAGCUAGUUGGUGAGGUAACGGCUCACCAAGGCAACGAUCCAUAGCUGGUCUGAGAGGAUGAUCAGCAUCACUGGGACUGAGACACGGCCCAGACUCCUACGGGAGGCAGCAAUGGGGAAUAUUGGACAAUGGGGGCAACCCUGAUCCAGCCAUGCCGCGUGAAUGAUGAAGGCCUUCGGGUUGUAAAGUUCUUUUGGUGGGGACGAUGAUGACGGUACCCACAGAAUAAGCUCCGGCUAACUUCGUGCCAGCCGCCGCCGUAA